rnacentral:rRNA from 1 species
ACGACCUCAGGUUAGACGGGAUCACCCAAUGAGUUUAAGCAUAUCAAUAAGCGGAGGAAAAGAAACUUACCAAGAUUUCCCUAGUAACGAUAAGUGAACCGAGAAGAGCCCAGCUUGAGAAUCAGGCACCUUCGGCAUCUGAAUUGUAGUCUGGAGAAGCGUCUUUAACGACGGACUAGGCCCAAGUCCCUUGGAAAGGGGCACCGGAGAGGGUGAGAGCCUCGUUGUGCCUGGACCUUGUCACACCACGAGGCGCUAUCCAUGAGUCGGGUUGUUUGGGAAUGCAGCCCCAAUCGGGUGAACAAUUCCGUCCAAGGUUGAAUACGGGCGAGAGACUGAUAGCGAACAAGUAUCGUGAGGGAAAGAUGAAAAGGACUUUGAAAAGAGAGUCAAAGAGUGCUUGAAAUUGUUAGGAGGGAAGCGGAUGAGGGCCGACGAAGUGCCCCGAUCGGAUGUUGAAUGGUGAGAGCCGGUCCGCCGAUCAACUCGGGGCGUGGACCGACGCGGGUCACGGCGGUGACCCAAGCUCGGGCUUUCGAUGUGCCUAUAGAGACAUCAUCACCGUGAUCAUGGAACGUAACACGCACUGUCUCGAUGUGCCUCGACACCAGUGUGCUCCAGGCAUUAGCCUGUAGGCUCCCCAUCUGACCAUCUUGAAACACGGACCAAGGAGUCUGACAUGCGUACGAGUCAACGGGCCAAAAAACCCGUAAGGCGUAAGGAAGCUGAUUGGCGAGAUCCCUCACGGGUGCACCGUCAACCGACCUUGAUGUUUUGAAAAGGGUUCGAGUGCGAGCAUGCCCGUCGGGACCUGAAAGAUGGUGAACUAUGCCUGAGCAGGGCGAAGCCAAAGGAAACUCUGGUGGAGGCCCGUAGCGAUACUGACGUGCAAAUCAUUCGUCUAACUUAGGUAUAGGGGCGAAAGACUAAUCGAACCGUCUAGUAGCUGGUUCCCUCUGAAGUUUCCCUCAGGAUAGCUGGAGCCCUCGUCGAGUUCUAUCGGGUAAAGCCAAUGAUUAGAGGCAUCGGGGGCGCAACGCCCUCGACCUAUUCUCAAACAUUAAAUAGUUAGGACGACGCGGCUGCUCCGUUAAGCCGUGCCACGAAAUCAAGAGCUCCAAGUGGGCCAUUUUUGGUAAGCAAAACUAGCAAUGCGGGAUGAACCAAAAGUCAGGUUACGGUGCCCAACUGCGUGCUAACCCAGAACCCACAAAGGGUGUUGGUCGAUUAAGACAGCAGGACGGUGGUCAUGAAAGUCGAAAUCCGCUAAAGAGUGUGUAACAACUCACCUGUCGAAUCAACUAGCCCCAAAAAUGGAUGGCGCUUAAGCGCGCGACCUAUACCCGACCGUCGGGGCAAGGGCCAGGCCUCAAUGAGUAAGAAGGCACGACGGUCGCUGUAAAACCCAGGGUGCGAGCCUGGGCGAAGCGACCGUCGAUGCAGAUCUUGGUGGUAGUAGCAAAUAUUCAAAUGAGAACUUUGAAGGCCGAAGAAGGGAAAAGUUCCAUGUCAAUGGCAUUACACAUGGGUUAGUCAAUCUUAAGAGACGGGGGAAGCUCGUCUGACAGCGCGUCCCGUGCGAGCUUCGAAAGGGAAUCGAGUUAAAAUUCUUGAACCAGGAUGCGGUGGCUGACAGCAACAUUAGGAGUUCGGAGACGUCGGUGGGGGCCGCAGGAAGAGUUAUCUUUUUGUGUAACGGCCCGUCCACCCUAGAAACAGCUCAACAGAGGUAGGGUCUAGCAGCCGAAAGAGCACCGCACGUCGUGUGGUGUUCGGUGCAGCUCUGACGGCCCUUGAAAAUUUGGAGGAUCGAGUGCCGUCCUGUGCCCGUUGUACUCAUAACCACAUCAGGUCGUCAAGGUGAACAGCCUUGGUCGAUGGAACAAUGUAGGCAAGGGAAGUCGACAAAAUGGAUCCGUAACCUUAAGAGAAGGAUUGGCUCUGAGGGCUGGGCACGGGUGUCCCAGUCUCGAACCCGUCGACUGGAGGACCCACAGACGUGUUAACGAAACACCGAGGGGGCCAGGGUGCCCCCGUGCCAUGAGCCCCCUUCGGCCUCGGGAGGCACAACGGUAGCUUCGUCCCCCUUACGGGGCGGGACGAUCGGCGUCAUCCCACCCGCCGUCGAACAAUGAACCCCCGAUGCGAAUCAUGCCAAGGAAUCGAAAUGAAAACGGAGCGCGCGUGCCAUCACCAUCCUGUCCGCGGUGCAUGCGCGGAUGGCACUGUGACUCCUUUUGUCCCGAAAAAAUGAAAUGACUCUCGGAUAUCUCGGCUCUCGCAUCGAUGAAGAAUGUAGCGAAAAGCAAUACUUGGUGUGAAUUGCAAAAUCUCGUGAACCAUCGAGUCUUUGAAUGCAAGUUGCGCCCCAAGGCAUUAGGCCGAGGGCACGCCUACCUGGGUGUCAUGCACCGUCGCCCCCCUUCCAACCUCCGGCCUUCUGAGCUCCGGGGGAAGGGGGCGGGCGAAAGAUGGCCUCCCGCGAUCCCGUGGGUUACGGUUGGACAAAAAUGAGUCCCUGGCAAUGCCAGCAUCGUGACCGUCGGUGGUAGAGCUCCCGACGUGCCUCAUCCCUGGUGACGCGCGCUCAUUGUCCACCCAGGCCCCUUCGGACCCUCCGCAUCGCUCGAUCGAUGCUUGCGUCGUGACCUCAGGUCAGGCGGGAUCACCUGUUGAGUUUAAGCAUAUCAAUAAGCAGAGGAAAAGAAACUUACCAGGAUUCCCCUAGUAACGGCGAACGAACCGAGAAGAGGCCAGCUUGAGAAUCGGGCACCCCCGAUGUCCGAAUUAUAGUCUGGAGAAGCGUCCUUAGUGGUGGAUCGGGCCCAAGUCCCCUGGAAAGGGGCAUCGGAGAGGGUGAGAGCCCCGUUGUGCUCGGACCCUGUCACUCCACGAGGCGCUGUUCGUGAGUUAGGUUGUUUGGGAAUACAGCCCAAUCGGGCGGUAAAUUUUGUCCAAGGCUGAAUACGAACGAGAGACCGAUAGCAAACAAGUACCGCGAGGGAAAGAUGAAAAGGACUUUGAAAAAAGAGUCAAAGAGUGCUUGAAAUUGU